GCUAUGAAUUGUGGGUAAAAUCUGGAAGGGGGUUUACACGUGUGUGUACAUGUGGGAAUGUUAUGGGAUUGUUAGUUUUUGUCCCCACGUUCUGUCCACGGGUGUCCAAUCCUGAACCUCGAGGGCCACCGUCCUUUUUCUGACUUUCCGCCCCAUCUCUGAUCACUUUCACCAGGUGUGUUCAGUCAAUCAGCAGCAAACUGACACACCCGAUCAAGGUGAUCAGCGUGGAGAGUUGGAUUCAACGCCUCUGGUCGAAACAAUCGGAGGCUCCAGGCUCAGGAAACCAGGAAGCACCGAGCUGAGCUGGGGAAUUCCAUCAACGCCCGGCAUCUUCUCACUGGAGGAAGCACAGAGCUGCAAGAAACUGUCUAGACACUGGAGGUCCUGUACUGUAUGUUCUGGCAACGCUCCAAACGCUUUUUUUUUUUACAUCUACACUCUAAAAUAUGUUAAUCUUGUUCAAGAGCUGAUGAUAAAGGAGCAAACGAUUCCAUAUUAUUGCCCUGCCACCUCGGUCUGUCUGCCAAGCAGGUUUGGAGCAAAGGUGGACUCUGGCACCCAGAGAUGGGAGGAAGCGGGACCUGGCCCACAUCGCUGAGGGACACAGCUGGGAACACACUGGCGCCGAUAAUCACCAGCACGUACAGAGAUGUAAAAUCCAAUAGCGGAGCUUCUUCAGUUUCCAGUGAGGGCUCCCCGACCGGCCCGUCCGGUGCUGCCCGCGAGUCCAUGCUUCGUGAUUGUACUGUAGACUGAAAAGCUCCUUCGCUACAGAUCCUGAGAAGAACAUCCGCCGUGAGUCCACCUUCUCCUUUUUAAAAAAGUUGACAAAUCUUAAAAACCGUACAAACACUCACAGCAACAAUAGACCAACGCAGGCAAACGAUACAACAGUCAGAGCAGUGACCACUGCUGUCUGCAGCCACAAGGGUGCAGCCCUCACACUCCACUAUCAAACAUGUUGGCAGGCACAGGAUGCUACUGAUCGCAGUCCGUUCUGAAUCCGUCGUCGUCCAGGUUUACGUUAGGGACUGAAAUCACUGCUAUCUUUAAUCGUCUGAUAUGCUUCUGAGGUUUUUCUACUCAAUGCUACAAUGAAGAGAAACAAGUAAGGAAACAUGUUGCGUAAUUAAAAAACAAAUAGCUUAUGAGUCCUAUACAGUGUAUGCGAUAUAGUCUAAAAUACAAAAAUAGAUGAUUUGAAAAUAAAUCUAAACAUAGAAAAAAUAUAAAUAACACUUAGGCCACAAGCCCAUGCUUUAGUUUGGUUUGUUCAGACAAUGGACAUUUGCAUAAACUUUACAUUUCCCUCCUGUGUUUCUUCUGAGCAGAAACAGGCUUGAUGGAGUCUGUCAUUCUGUUGGUGCUGAUGAAUGGUUGAUGGAGGACAGGUUUCACGUGGGAAUGCUGGGUCGGGUGCAGAGGUCACCACACGGAGCAUUUGUCCACAGGGUGCAUUGGGGACCCCUUGGGGCAGUGGAACACGCGGGCAAACUCAUCGAACUGGGAAACGCUGCCGAUCACUCUGCAGGAGAGGACGAACCAAUGAAUGAAAGCACACGUGAUGGCUGUGAUGGAGUCUGGGGACGCUGUGGUGAACGUUAUGCAGCGUGUAUCAUCAAGUGUGACCAGUUUGGUGGGUCUGGGGAGGCAAAUCCUUGGAGGCCCACACAGACAUCCAUGGUGUAAAGGGUUCGGCUGCUGAGGCGCUGGGAUAAGACCCCCACCACACUUGGACUGACGUCCUGCUCUGGUGUGAGCCAGUUCCAGAAGGACAAUCCUUGAUGCCACUGACUGAACCUUACCAUGCCCUGACUCCACCUAAUGCAGGCGUGUGUGUGUUUUCUGUAUAUCUCACUACCUCGCACAUAUAAUAAUGGAAUAUUGCUUGCUCAGAAACAGGACUUUUGAAGACAAACACUUAAAACUACUGUAAGUGUAUGUUCUUGCCACUUUGUGGAACAAAUAGGGAAGGUUAAACUCUUGAAGCAGCUGAGAGCUUUGCACCAGUUAGAUACUUAAAACAUAAUUGAAUUGAGGAAGCUUGGAGGUCGGCCUGCUGUGGGAUUUGCAGACUUAACUUGUCCCAUUUCAUCUAAAGACAGAGGCGGUGGAAUUGUCUGUCUUAUCAUCCAAGAAGCUUUUCAUGCAUUCUGGACACAUGAAAUAUCAACAUGAUUUUCAUAUUUCUUCUGGGUUAAAACAGAAAAGCUAGAUCACUAGAAAUGGUUUUAAAAUGUGUCUAGAUGCUGCUACUGGUGUACUUUGCGCUGGAUUGCACGGCCACUGAAUUUAAAUGAGUGGUAAUAGUUACAGGAGCUGCGGUGGUCCGGUGCUUCGGGGCUUUACUGUCAUCAACACUGUGCUGUUUCUGAUCCUUCCAGUGGUUAAUGCCUCCAUCAGCUAACAUUAGAUAAUGCAUACCUCCUACCUGCUCUCUGGGACUGGUCUCCAGCUGCGAGAGGCAGCAAAAACAAUGUAACUUGUGAAAGUAAUGAAAAACAGUCAAGCUUCUGUACCUGUGCAAAGGCAAUGAAGAGCAGCUGUUCAUGAGUGUAUUUGAGCCCAGGCAGCGGCCUCUCUGGGCCAUGCUCCCUCACCCACUUCUGAUAUGCCUGGACACAGACACAAGAGGGUAUUAGCUGGGUGAUGAAACCAUCUAUUUCUAUUUAAAAGCAUUCAUUCAUUCUGUACUUUCUACACAAAGUAUAGUAUGGAAAUAAGCUGUGCUGCAUCCCAGACCGGUACGUCUGUUUGUGUAAAUUAAAUGGUUUAUGAAGAACAGA